GCAAGUCGAACGCGAAAGCAAUCUUCGGAUUGUGAUUACAGUGGCAGACGGGUGAGUAAUGCAUAGGAAAUCUACCCAGGAGUUAGGAAUAACUAGCCGCAAGGCUAGCUAAUACCGCAUAAAGUCGUGUUGCUUAAGUAAUGCGAACAAGGGGAGGACCUUCGGGCCUGUCGCUUUUGGAUGAGCUUAUGUCCUAUUAGAUAGUUGGUGGGGUAAUGGCCUACCAAGUCGAUGAUGGGUAGCCGAGCUGAGAGGCUGAUC
rnacentral:rRNA from 1 species